GACGAACGCUGGCGGCGUGCUUAACACAUGCAAGUCGAACGAAGAGCGAUGGAAGCUUGCUUCUAUCAAUCUUAGUGGCGAACGGGUGAGUAACGCGUAAUAAACCUGCCCUUCAGAGGGGGACCACAGUUGGAAACGACUGCUAAUACCGCAAACGAUCUAAUCUCGGCAUCGAGGAUAGAUGAAAGGUGGCCUCUACAUGUAAGCAAUCACUGAAGGAGGGGAUUGCGUCUGAUUAGCUAGUUGGGGGGGAAACGGCCCACCAAGGCGAUCAUCAGUAGCCGGUCUGAGAGGAUGGACGGCCCCAUUGGGACUGAGACACGGCCCAGACUCCUACGGGAGGCAGCAGUUGGGAAUCUUCCGCCAUGGACGAAAGUCUGACGGAGCAACGCCGCGGGAGUGAUGACGGCCUUCGGGUUGUAAAGCUCUGUUAAUCGGGACGAAAGGCCUUCUUGCGAAUAGUGAGAAGGAUUGACGGUACCGGAAUAGAAAGCCACGGCUAACUACGUG
rnacentral:rRNA from 1 species